AUAAUGGAAAAAAGAUACAAAGAAACAAGAUGGAGGUUUCGGAAAACUUGUUUUUUCCCUCCUUUUUCUUUUGUCCUUCAACUUGUAUUUAUGAGUAGAUUUUCCUUCUGUCCUUGGGUUACUGGGAGAGUGGAUAGGGGGCAGCAGCCAGUGGAUACAGUUUUAUUAAUUGUUAGAGAAUGUGGAUCAUUAAGUUGGACUUAAGGUUUCAGUUUAGAGGGUGUCUGGAUUGGCUUAAAAGCUAGUCAAACCAAAAAGCAUCGACUCAUUUUGGUAUUUGGCAAACAAAAAAAGUGCUUUUAAACCAAAACUUACGAAAACAAGCCAAAAGCUGUAAGUUGGAGAACUUAUGGCUUGUUUGCUUAAAAGAUAGAUGAGUUUGGCCUAAAUUGGCUCUGAUACCAAAGGGAAGGGAACGGAAUAACAGUGGGCUAAAGGAACAAUAUCAGUAGCAGUAAGUAAAGCAGGUAAGGAUCCCAAGCCAAUUUAAGCACUACAACACCG
rnacentral:lncRNA from 1 species